CUCCUUUCCACUUCAGGUGCCCGGGAGGGCGCAGGAGCCUCCGGGCACCUGGCGUGGGAGCCUGGCUGCAGGAGUCCCGGCCUCAGCGGGAAGAGGCUCCUCGGGGUCCCAUACUAAGCUGAGGGUGAGGGGGCAGCGACAGCCCAGAAGAAAUGGUCAGAGAAGCAAACUGUGGUGGGGGAGUACUGGGAGAAAGACUCUUCUUACCAGAUGUCUGAGCCCCCCGACUCUGGCUAACUGAGGAAAUGUCGGGGAGCCCCUGGAUGGUCCUCCCGGGCUUCUGCGCUUGGUGGGCGCUGGCGCCCUCUGGCUGGAGCCCUGCGCCCGGCCCAGCCCAGGCCGCUGAGGGUGCCCUGCGCGGGCUUCACAGCUUUGCCAGGAUUUGCAGCCAUCAGACCUGAGGACAGAAGGGUUCGGGCUGCAAGGAAUCCUAUUGUGUGAGAGCCAUGACACAGUGAGUGGGAGUUUUGAUCUUGACCUCCUGGAGCAUUUUCAUGGAAAAGGCAGUUCCAGGAUUCUUUGUGGCCUCUUCCACAGGAGAAAGUAAAGGAGCUAGAGGCCUCUAAAAAUUUAGUUAUUGAAGAACUGAAGUUAUUCACAGCAACCUGGCAGAAGAGAAUGUGAAAUACGUGGGUCUCAGGUAAUAGGUAAUAUCCCUAAUUCCACGGUGAUGCUGAGAAGCAGAGGGCGCCCUCAGAAGUAGUUUCUCUUAAGGAAUUUGCAGCUGGCCUACAAGAACAGGACCACAGAAUCAGGUCCUGUAAAAGGGGACCCAGGCUGAUGGAGGCUCUGCCUUUCUGUUGCUGCAUAGCUCCGCUGUUAUGGCCACAGAGGAAGAAGAUAAUAAAGUCAAUUUUUAUCCAUAUGUCUACCUUGCAUCUUGAAAUCGACAAACAUCACCUCUACUUAUAGCCCAUUGGCCCAAAGUAGUCACAUGACCCUGUAUAACUGUCAAGGUGCUGGGACUGUGGGGAAGCACCUCACAUUCUUCAGGCACUAAAUGUAUCUGUCACAGAGAGCUUAUCUAGUCCACUGUCUUUCAAAAUGUGCACCUUUGAAACAUAGGGCUUUGCAGAGUUGUGUAAUGAGUCCUGGAAAUAAUAAAGUACAGUCAACUAAAUAAUAAACAUGAAAACCACCGGAUGGAUUUUAUCAACUGUUAAGUGCUUUUUUAUUAGAAGAGCUAUAAAUUAUUGUGUCGUGGAAAGAAGGAAAAGUUUUGCAGCCAACAGAAGUUGGGAAUUCACUCAUGUGCUUCAUUUUUUUCUGUUUUCAAAGAAUCAUUCACUUAAAAAAUCUCACCCAGAUUAAAGCUGUCUUGACCAGCCACUUAACAUCCUGCAAUGUCUUAUAACAUCCUGCAAUGUCUUAUAACAUGAUAUUUCUCCUGCUUGUGUUUUAGCUUCAUAAGCAAUAAAGCCAGGAUGUUAAGCUGGUAUUUCUAAUUACGUAUUACAAUUCUAUACAUGCUAGUUUUCAACAACAACAAAAUCAAAGGAAAGUUCACAUGUGUUGUGAAGCAACCACCAUACCCCCUCUUCUAAGACUCUCUUUUUUUAUAAUUCUCUGCAAAAUUCCAAGUUACCUGAAAACAAAGCUUAAAAAUAAGGCUAUUCUGUAUCUAGCUGGUACCUGUCUCCACCAGAAGAGAAAAAUCCAUAAGUCUUCUUUAUCUUAUAGUCCAUUGGGUCUCUACUGAUCGGGAUUACUUUUGUGAGAAAACAAAGUAGAAUGCUACUCCAAAAAAAAAAAAAAAAGCAAAAAAGAAGCCAAUUGCUGUUAAUAUGUCUAUUAUAUUGUAGAUAUAAACACAUAGACAAUGCAUGCUAUAAUAUAUCAUUCAAAUUUAUAACACUUGUUCAACGUUUACGCUUACAUGCCCUUCCUAAAAAUAUAUAUUUUAUCAGAUUUUUUUCCCUUAAAACAGUGAAUGACUCCCUCCCACAUCUGGUAGGUCUCAUUCUAGGCCAGUUUAUGGCACAGUUCCCAUAAGGGGACAAGGAUCUGGAGAAAGAAACUGAAGAGGAAGAAAUGCUGAGGAGCACACAACAGUACUUCUCUUUUCUCUUUCCUUUGUAAUACAGGCUACACAACAAACUAACCACUUUUUGAAACAUUUUUUAUAGAUAUAGGUUCUUGCUAUGUUGCCCAGCCUGAAGUGCACAAUCACUACACACUACAGCCUGGAACUUCUAGGCUCAAGCUAUCCUCCCACUUCAGCCUCCCAGAUAGCUGGGACUACAGGCUCACCCCACAAACUAACCACUUUUUCCCUGUGAGUUAAGAGAGAACUAAAUGAGUAGAUCAUGAUGACAACAAGGUCAAGGUGCUAUCUCUUGCAGCUAAUAGUUUUCUCUUUAUGAAGAAUGCAAUUCUGUUUAAUGUUUUGAGGACAUGUUCUGGAAUCAGAGUCCAUGGGUGCAAAUCCUGCCUUUGCCACUUACUAGCCAUGUGAUCCCAAUUAAGUCACUCAGUCUUUCCAAGAUCCAAUUCUCUCAUUUUUAAAAUAGGGAUAACAACAACAACAACAACAAAACCUAACUCAUUGGAUUACUGUGAGAAUUAAAUAAGUUGAGGGAUGAAAUGGGCUUAGCCAAGUACCUGAUACAUAGUUAUUGCAAAUAUCAGGUAAGCACUCACAGUACCUAGUUGCAACUUUAUAUUGCAAAAGAGGCAUUGAAAGGGUAGAAAAACAGUCUUGAAUUGCAAAUACCACCCCUCCUCUACCUGCCAGCAGCAGUGGUGUGAUACAGAGAGUGUCUCUGGGCUCUGGGGUAGGGAGAGUGCAGCACUUGUGAGGCAUUGAACUCAGUGCUGUCCUGUUAUAACAGAAAAGAAAACUGGACCAAACUCAGCUGAUGCCUGCCCAUGAAGGGAGCAUUUAAACCACCCCAGGAGAGGGGAAUCACUGAUCCCAGUGGUCCGAACUUGAGUUCCCGCAAUCCUCACCACUGUGGGGGAAAGGGCUCUGGGGCCCAAAAUAAACUUGAAAGGUAGUCAAGGUCACAAGGACUGCAACAUCUAGGCAAAUCCUAGUGCUGAACCAGGCCCAGAGCCAGUGGACUGGGGGGCACACAACUUACUGAGACACUGGCUGGUGUGGGCUAGGGGAGAGCUGGCAUCACCCAUCCUCUAACCCCAGGCUGCAAAGUUUGCAGCUCCAAAAGAGACACUUUCCUUCCACUUGAGGAGAGGAGAGGGAAGAGUGGGGAGGACUUUGUCUUGGAUACCAGCUCAGCCACAGCAGGAUAGGGUACUGGUCAGAGUCCUGAGACUCCCUUUCCAGGCCCUAGACCCCAGAUGGCAUUACUAGUCAUAUCCUGGGCCAGAAGAGAACCUGAUGGCUUGAAGGGAGGGACCCAGUCCUGGCAGCAUUAAUCGCCUGCUAACCGAAGAGCCCUUGGACCCUGAAUGACCAUCAGCAAUACACGGAUGCUAUGUGAAGGGCUUCGGAUGAGAGUCUGAGACUUACUAGCUUCAGGUGAGACUCAGCACAUUCCCAGCUGUGGCGACUAUGGGUCGAGACUCCUUCUGCUUGAGAAAAGCAAAGGGGAAAGUAAAGGGGACUUUCUCUUGCACCUUAGGUACCAGCUCAGCCACAGGGAAACAGAGCACCAAGGGGGCCCUUGGGCUUGAUUUCAGGACUUGGCUCUUGGACAGCAUUUCUGGACCUGCCCUGCACCAGAGGGGAGCCCACUGCCCUGAAGGGUGAGUCCCAGGAUGGGCA
rnacentral:lncRNA from 1 species